GAGAGAAGAGAGACUGGUUUGGAAAUGGAGACCUUUGGAGGGAAGCAGUGAUUAAAUAUAUUUAUUCCCCCACAGCUACAGUGUAGCUUGACGAUGAAGAUUCAUUGCUCUCUCACUCCUCUCCACUUCACCCACCGCUCCCCACUUCCACCCCUAAAUCACACCUCCAUAAACCCUAACCCCAAUCCAAUUCACCGCCUAUAGAUUAUUCCGCCACUCAUAUUUCAUUUCUCUAAAUUAAUUCAUACAUUUACGCCGCGGCCAUGCCGAAGAUGAAGCGCUUUCUUCGGAAGCUGCACAUCGGCGAUCACCAGCCGCCUCCCGUCCCCGAUCAGCCAGCUCAAACGGCGUCGUCGCAGCUGUCGGAGUCGUCGUCUCCGUCUCCUUCGCCGUCGCCGCUGCCUGAUUUGCCGCAGACGGCGUCCUCGUCGGAGAACGAGGCCGCGGGUACCAAUUUCAAUUACCUCGAAGAGGAGUUCCAAAUGCAAUUGGCGCUGGCAAUCAGCGUUUCGGAUCCAGGUCAAACCGGCGUUGACUCGGAAAUGGCUCAAAUCAACGCGGUUAAGCAGAUUAGUCUUGGCCGCUCUCCUUCUCAAAGCCUAGCUGAAUUUCUAGCCCUCCGAUAUUGGAGCUGUAAUGUUGUAAAUUAUGAUGAGAAAGUAAUAGAUGGAUUCUAUGAUGUUUGUGGAAUUGAUUCCAGCUCGAUGGUCCAAACCAACAUGCCAUCCCUAGUAGAUCUUGAAGCAAUAUCUGUGUUGAACACUGUUGGCCUUGAGGUGGUUUCAGUCAACCGUGGUGCUGAUAUGGAGCUUCGGAGACUUGAGGAAAUAGUGCAUUUUAUGUCCAUGGAUUAUCUUGCUCCAAAUACAAGCCAGAGUACAAGCUCGCUAGUUCAAAAAAUUGCUGAUCUUAUUGUUGAAAGAAUGGGAGGUCCUGUUAGUGAUGUUGAAGAAAUGUUUUGGAGAUGGAGGGCACGGAGUCAGGAGUUAAGAGUCAACUUCAACACAGUUGUCCUUCCUCUUGGUUCUCUUGACAUUGGCCAUUCACGCCAAAGGGCCUUACUCUUUAAGGUACUUGCUGAUAGGGUUAACAUUCCAUGUAAGCUAGUCAAAGGGAGUUAUCAUACUGGCACUGAUGAAGGAGCUGUAAACUUGAUAAAAUUGGACAAUGGAAGUGAAUAUAUUAUAGAUCUGAUGGGUGCUCCUGGGGCUCUCAUUCCUGCUGAAGCACCUAGUAGGCGUCUUCAAAAUUUUGGGUUUGAUAUUACAACUGUUGCAGCAGUUGGCAAAGGUUCAUUUUCAGCACCUGACCAAGGAACCAGAGCAGAAGCGUCCUACGUAGAUGAAACUGCCAAAACUGGAAGUUCAAGUUUUGACUCAUCUCAGGUUGCUACUGUAUCAAAUAGAAACGGUGGUAGAUUCGCUGGAAAAAUCCUGUCAGACCUGUUGGAGCAUGCUACUGGAGAUAUUUAUCUACCCUCAAGUGAAAUAUGUGAAAUGCCAUUGGGUGCUGGCAAGAAAAUAAAUUUGGUAGAGUUGCGAGUUGAAGAUGUUCCCAGGAAAGAUGCAACUGAACAAUUGCAUGUGCCUCUGGAUUCAGCUGGAUACAGACCAUCUUCUGAUACCCAACACGAACGAAGAGUAACUUUCAAAGACAGAAAGGAGGAAGACAUCCCAAAUGACGGUGCUGCAAUUGCUAAUGAACAUAUUGAUUCUUCUGGAAAUGGAGAGGCUAUACACAUAGCCUACACUGACCAGUCUAAUGCUAACAAGAUUCAAGAUAUGCAAAUUGAUUCAGCAAUAAAUGGAGUGGCCGAAAUGUUAUGGGAGGAUCUUCAGAUUGGUGAACGCAUUGGUAUAGGAUCUUAUGGUGAGGUCUACCGAGCAGAAUGGAAUGGCACAGAAGUUGCAUUGAAGAGGUUUAUGAAACAAGAUAUAUCAGGUGAUGCACUAGCACAGUUUAGAUGUGAGAUCGAGAUUAUGUUGAGGUUGCGACAUCCAAAUAUUGUUCUUUUCAUGGGAGCUGUAUUACGGCCCCCAAAUAUGUCUAUAUUGAUGGAAUUUCUCCCAAGAGGUAGCUUGUAUAAGCUGCUGCACCGUCCAAAUAUCCAAAUUGAUGAAAAAAGGCGAAUAAGGAUGGCCAUGGAUGUGGCCAAGGGAAUGAAUUAUUUACACACUAGCCAUCCGAUUAUCGUGCAUCGAGAUCUCAAGACUCCAAACCUUCUUGUUGAUAAAAAUUGGGUCGUUAAGGUUUGUGACUUUGGGAUGUCGCGCCUGCAGCACAACACUUUUCUAUCUUCUAAAUCGACUGCUGGAACGGCUGAGUGGAUGGCACCAGAAGUUCUAAGGAAUGAACCAUCUAACGAGAACUUUUCCUUAUUUGCAGAUCUGAUGUAUAUAGUUUUGGGGUCAUUUUAUGGGAGCUGGCUACUCUGCGGGUGCCAUGGACAGAAAUGAACUCGAUGCAAGUAGUUGGAGCCGUUGGAUUUCAAGACAGACACCUUGACAUCCCGCCCAUGGUUGAUCCACUGGUUGCAGAUAUAAUACGCGAUUGCUGGAUUAGAAACCCACAGGGACGCCCUUCGUUUGCACAGAUUAUUGCUCGACUCAAACGCGUGCGUCGCCUUAGGGUGCAGAAAACAACUGAGAGUCGUGAAACCCAUCUCUGAUGUAACAAUAGCUCAGUACUCGUUCAAAGAACCAGCAGAGCAGGAGUGGGUUUUUAGAAAUCUUCAAAGGUACAGCUGCUAAGGAACAUAAUUGGAUUGGGUAGGCAGUGGUUCAUUGGCGAAGCUUGAUGCAGCCGGAAACAAAACUCGCCUGGACUUAAAACAAGUCUCAUAAGUGCAGCUGGGGGCAAACAUUAAAUUCUUGAGAAAAUGGAAAAAAGUUUAGAAGGUAUUAGGGUUCACCAAUGUAGGUGAGUAAAUUUGUAAUAAAUCUUAUUUAGACCGAGAGAGAGGGGUGGUUUAGGGGGUAUCUGUUGAGACCACAAAAAAGUAACUGUAAAAAAGGGUCUCUGCUGAUUUUGUAUAAAAAAAAUUAUUUGUUGUAUUUAAACCGUCACCUGGCAUAA